rnacentral:rRNA from 1 species
GACGAACGCUGGCGGCGUGCUUAACACAUGCAAGUCGAACGGAAAGGCCCUGCUUUUGUGGGGUGCUCGAGUGGCGAACGGGUGAGUAACACGUGAGUAACCUGCCCUUGACUUUGGGAUAACUUCAGGAAACUGGGGCUAAUACCGGAUAGGAGCUCCUGCUGCAUGGUGGGGGUUGGAAAGUUUCGGCGGUUGGGGAUGGACUCGCGGCUUAUCAGCUUGUUGGUGGGGUAGUGGCUUACCAAGGCUUUGACGGGUAGCCGGCCUGAGAGGGUGACCGGCCACCUUGGGACUGAGAUACGGCCCAGACUCCUACGGGAGGCAGCAGUGGGGAAUAUUGCACAAUGGGCGGAAGCCUGAUGCAGCAACGCCGCGUGCGGGAUGCCGGCCUUCGGGUUGUAAACCGCUUUCGCCUGUGACGAAGCGUGAGUGACGGUAAUUGGUAAAGAAGCACCGGCUAACUACGUG